rnacentral:rRNA from 1 species
UACGUAGGGUGCAAGCGUUGUCCGGAAUCAUUGGGCGUAAAGCGCGCGUAGGUGGCUUCGUAAGUCCGUUGUGAAAGUCAAAGGCUCAACCUUUGAAUGCCGAUGGAUACUGCGAAGCUAGAGUACGGAAGAGGCGAGUGGAAUUCCUGGUGUAGCGGUGGAAUGCGCAGAUAUCAGGAGGAACACCGGUGGCGAAGGCGGGUCUCUGGGCCGAUAUUGACGCUGAGGAGCGAAAGCGUGGGGAGCGAACAGG